rnacentral:rRNA from 1 species
AUUGAACGCUGGCGGCAGGCCUAACACAUGCAAGUCGAACGCGUGGCGGACGGGUGAGUAAUGUCUGGGAAUCUGCCCGAUGGAGGGGGAUAACUACUGGAAACGGUAGCUAAUACCGCAUACCAUCGGAUGAGCCCAAAUGGGAUUAGCUAGUAGGUGGGGUAACGGCUCACCUAGGCGACGCUCCCUAGCUGGUCUGAGAGGAUGACCAGCCAAACUGGAACUGAGACACGGCCCAGACUCCUACGGGAGUCAGCAGUGGGGAAUAUUGCACAAGGGGCGCAAGCCGGAUGCAGCCAUGCCGCGUGUAUGAAGAAGGCCUUCGGGUGGUAAAGUACUUUCAGCGAGGAGGCGUUACUCGCAGAAGAAGCACCGGCUAACUCCGUGCCAGCAGCCGCGGUAAUAC